GACGAACGCUGGCGGCGUGCUUAACACAUGCAAGUCGAACGGAAAGGCCCUGCUUUUGUGGCGUGCUCGAGUGGCGAACGGGUGAGUAACACGUGAGUAACCUGCCCUUGACUUUGGGAUAACUUCAGGAAACUGGGGCUAAUACCGGAUAGGAGCUCCUGCUGCAUGGUUGGGGGUGGCAAGUUUCGGCGGUUGGGGAUGGACUCGCGGCUUAUCAGCUUGUUGGUGGGGUAGUGGCUUACCAAGGCGUUGACGGGUAGCCGGCCUGAGAGGGUGACCGGCCACAUGGGGACUGAGAGACGGCCCAGACGCCUACGGGAGGCAGCAGUGGGGAAUAUUGCACAAUGGGCGGAAGCCUGAUGCAGCAACGCCGCGUGCGGGAUGACGGCCUUCGGGUUGUAAACCGCUUUCGCCGGUGACGAAGCGUGAGUGACGGUAAUGGGUAAAGAAGCACCGGCUAACUACGUG
rnacentral:rRNA from 1 species